GGAGGGAUGGCAGAGCGGUUGAAUGCGACAGUCUUGAAAACUGUUGUCCCGAUUCAUCGGGACCGUGAGUUCAAAUCUCACUCCCUCCGCCA
rnacentral:tRNA from 1 species